rnacentral:rRNA from 1 species
GAUCUGGCUCAGGACGAACGCUGGCGGCGCGCCUAACACAUGCAAGUCGAACGAGAGAGAAGGAGCUUGCUUCUUCGAUCGAGUGGCGAACGGGUGAGUAACGCGUGAGGAACCUGCCUCAAAGAGGGGGACAACAGUUGGAAACGACUGCUAAUACCGCAUAAGCCCACGGGUCGGCAUCGAUCUGAGGGAAAAGGAGCAAUCCGCUUUGAGAUGGCCUCGCGUCCGAUUAG